GGCCUCCAGCCUCGGGUUUGCUGUGAGCCCAGGCUGGGGAGUGUUCCUCCUUUCCACUCUGCACGUGGGAGGAGCAGUCAACCGGCCAUCGGAAGCCUGCGUGACAACUGUUGUUUGACUAAAGGUUCAGUCCAGGUGCUCAUGAACCCUCGUGGAGAUUGAUAACUGCCCUGGGCCGUGUUCACUGGAAUGUGCUGGGUGUGUCUGCUGGCUUAUCUGAAGUCCUCGUGCGCUCUUAAACGUGAACAUAGAUGUGGGUUCCUGGGAGAGUCCCAUGGCAAGUGACAAAUGGCAGCUUGAACAGGGAUGGAUCAUUUGCUCGCCUGUGAGCAGAGUGAGGCUCACUUGUAGUCCAGUUGUCAUCUAACCCUGCGGUUACAUCGUCCUCGUCCCUCUUCCCCGUCCUGGGCCUGUCACUGGCCUCGUGUGCAUUCAUUUUCACUCACGGAUUCAGCAAAGACUAUUAACUACCCCUAGGGGCCAGGCACGGGCCUGCGAACUGGGAACACGACUUACCAAUGACACGUAUUCCUGGGGCCUCAAAGAAUCCACCACCAGCUCAGAGGGUGGAGGAGGGAACAGGUGAUGGGAAGGCCGCGUAGGAGCGGCUGCGGAGCAGAACAGGGGCACUGUCGCAUCUCAGAGUGGGUACCACGGAAGGCAUCACUGCUGCCUCAGCCGAGCCCCGGGUCCAGGCAGAGAAGGGGCAGCAUGACACGAGGCUUGAACUGACAUGACCUGCCUGGGAAAUGGCAAGUGAUAGAGGCCAAGAGCGCCUGCGGACCAGCCCAGCACUGAGGGAGACACUCCACCGGCCUCCUGUCGCCAACUUCCACACCAAGCCUGCAGUAGGUUCCGGUUUAUCCUCACUGACUGACGGGAACAGGUCAGGAGGCUAAGAAACUUGCCCAAAGUCUACAGCUAGUAAGAGGCGAAGCCAGAACUGAGAAAUGGCCUGUCUGACUUCAGAACUCAGGCUCUUAACCAUCGCUCUGCGUUUCAGCAGGAACCUGGGGAGCCUGGGGAAUCUGGCCAGGAGAGAAGGCCCCAGAGAAGGGAGGCAGGGCACCUGACGGCGAGACCGGUGCCCAUGCCAGGUGUGGAGGGAGGGGGGGAAGGCAGGGAAGAGUUUUGCCAUUUAAUGCCAUCCACAGUAUUCUCUUGUACCUACUGACUGUUUCUCUCCAUCUGAGUCACUGAGUCGUCCAGCCCUUGGCACACCGGCUUGUUCCUGGAGCAUUUGCUCGCAGCCAGCACUGUGCUGCAGACUAUUUAUUUUUGCGACCCUCCCCCUUACUCCUCGAGUUGUUGGAAACACAGAAAGUUGAAGAAUUGUCCCAGAGCCCUGUGGUUGGGUGGGGCAGGGCAGAGGGUCCGGUUCUCU
rnacentral:lncRNA from 1 species